rnacentral:lncRNA from 1 species
ACGGAGAGCCGGGCCCCGCCCGCCCUCGGCCGGCCCGCCCGCCGCCGCCCGGCCCCCAGCCUGCCGCCCAGUCCACCCCGGGCGCCCGUAGUCGAAAAGGGGGCUCGGCCCACGCCAAUAUCCGUAGGAUCUCCCCGCGGGGCUUUAUCCUGCUAGAUUUACCAAAAGAGCGACGAACGGUUUAUUUCUCUGUGCAACUCCUUGAAGUGGUUUCCUUCUCCCUCGCCACCCUUAAGCGUACUUAAUAUUGGGACUCGAUUGCCUGUGGGCUUACGACACUGACCAAAAUUCCAUGGAUGGAAAAGCAGGAGAAAAGGAGAAGGAAAAAAAGAAGCAAAGAGUAUCUGUGUUCAACUGAGGAGUGACAAAUAUAUUCUCCUGCCUGUUGCUGGUUCACGUGUUCUGAGAAGAAAUUGAAUGCAUAGACAGAGCACCAGUAUUUUCAGCAUGGAAACCACAAGUCUUGGAAAGAAAGUUUUCCACUGGUUGGUCCUCUCUUCUGCCAAUAUAUGCAUCAUCAUCUUUACUGCUUCUUUAGUGUAUCACAAAUAAGAUACCAUUUAGAUAGUGAGCAGUUCAUUUUGCUCAACAACAAAUGCAAGCUUUUCUUAUAUUCUGCAUCAGUUCUCAUGAAAGAGAGAAGGCGGAUGGGUGUGGAAACUGAAGCUCUCUACCUACAACAAAAAAACCACAUACAUACACCACUGUAAGCAAUUCUGUGCUGCCUGAUGUGUUGGGGCAAAGAGGAGCUGAGUUUUCACUGCAUUAAUGUUCUGUUUUC